AUUACUGUGAUUUCACAAUACCAUACAGUAUUAUUGCACAGUAAAUUACUGUACUCAAACAUUUACUGUAAAAUCACAGUAGCUCUAUCACAUUACAGCACCUUGUUGUGAAAUUUGAAUUGCACUUGAACCGCACAGCAUUGUGGGGCGAUUUCUAACGUUCACCCCUCCCACCCGCACCUGCCACCCUCAACUGAAUUUUCAACUCAGCCGUCCACCAGUGACUUCAAUUAUCACUUUUCUGCAUGUGUAAGCUGUACAAACUCUGCCAUCAUAUCCAAGACAUUGCAUUGUGAGGACUGGUGCCCUGGGAACACUGAGCGCAUUCUCGAAAAUUCCAAAUUUGUGCCACUUCCAUACGAAGACAGCCCAGAAUAAUUGGGCUCCAUCAACCAUCCCGGGUAAAGUCGGUCUGUCCUGAUUGCACUACUUGCUAAUUGAUGACGUCUAGAAGCCAUAGCUGCUUCCCUCUGCCCUCACAAAUAAACUGAUACCAGGAAUUAACAUACAGUAGAUGGUGAUGGUGGUGGUGGCAAGGGUGCCUUCACAAGGUGCCAUGUCACAAUCUCAGUGUGGAGCCAAAGGCUGCUAUUGCAAGUCAGAUGGGGGACGAUCGAUGUAAGGCAUCAGAAAGGUGGUGUACAUACAAAGGCUGGAGCUGCUGGAGACAGUGUUGCACUUAGAUACUUGAUUUACUGCCGAUGGUACCAUCAGAGCACCACCCUACCCCUGCAGGACCAGAAGAGGACGGACAGGGGGCCAACAUUUUUUAACACUCUGACCAUGGACUAUUUAAACCAUUGAGGUAACGCAGACGUCUGA